AAAAUCCGUUGGUCUUUGUAGGACCGUGAGGGUUCGAGUCCCUCUAUCCCCA
rnacentral:tRNA from 1 species